rnacentral:tRNA from 1 species
GGUGAGAUGGCCGAGUGGUUAUGGCGCCGUGUUCAGGAUAUGGUUUGAUAUUGUCUAUCAUGACAUUAUCAAUAUCGUGAACGAAUUUCGCGGUGGAGCAAUCCGCGUGGGUUCGAGUCCCACUCUCAUCA